CGGCUCUGCAGCGGCUGCUGGAGCUACACGGCGCGGCCAGGCGGCGGCGGCGGCGGGACCGCGAGCAGCAGCGGCUCCGGGAACACCCAGAACUUCCAGGAGCUACUGUGGCCCCCUGGCGCCGAGGAGCCUGCGUCUGGAAGGCACUCAGGCAGCUGGAGUUCACUGGAAAUUCAGGAGCACACAUAGGAAAGGGACAUGCAGCAUGGCCCAGCAAGCUGGCAACACUUGCUGGCAUAUUCCUUUUCCACACAUCUGCUCUUCAUCUCUAACUACUCCACUGCCGAGGCUGCUUUCCCUCCCUGCUGAAGGCCUGGACUCAGCCAGAUGGACAGCCUUCCCACCAGCACCAUCCCCUGCUUGCCUCCUCUCCUGACAUUUGCCAGCAACUUGAGCUCCCCAGGUGAGCUGGCCCAAUCUCAGGCCUUUAAAUAGGACUCAUAUCCUAAUGACCUCCGAAUGUGCACCUUCAGCUCUGACCUGCUCCUGAGGGCCGGACUUGCAGUCGCCUUUCGGCACCUCAAGCUUAACAUAGCUGAUGUGGACCUGUUUACAUGCACCCUCCAGCCCUGUCCUAUUCCAGUCUACCCUGAAAAAGCCAUUGCUUACAGGGCAGUCAGGGUGACUUUUUAAAAAAGUAAAUCAGUGUCACUCUUAAAGGCUGCUUAAAACCCUCCACUGUCUUCCUUGGCAUGGAAUAAAAUCCAGACUCC